AAAUUUUUUCAGACAUUAUGCGGUCAGUCUUUCGCCUUCCGUGCUAGCAGUGUGGUCCGUGUGGUAACCUACCGUUGCACGUUUGUCGGCUUUUUUUCCGCCACGUCUCGCAGCUGUCGCUGUUCGUGUGUGGUUCCGUGGUGUAGGACCACAUGAAGACGAAGUGAGCCAUGCGACGUGAAAUUCUACCGCAUCCCUAAAGACAACAGGAUGGAAGCGUUUUUAACCUACGCUGGAAGGAUGGACCUAAUGGGUUUGCCCAGAGACAAGGUCAACAACCGCAGAAUAUGCUCGGUGCACUUCACGGAGGUGGAUUUUAUGGACCGAGCGAAAAGCAGCCCGUGAGAAGCUAUUCUGCGCAUUGGCCAUUAGAUCAAUUACAAUAAAUGUUUUUUACAUGUGCGUACAUGGAACACCA